CUGUUGGUUGCCGGGGAAGGAGAUCAGGGAGUCGUAGUGUUGUAGUGAGAGGAUCUAACGUCCUUACGUAGUAUGUAGUAUAGGAGGAAAAUACCCUCCAGUAGUAAGUAGAAGUAGUAGUGGUGGUAGAGGAGGUGUGUGGCAGCUCCUUUGUUCCCCCAUAGUGCGUGGGAGGUGAGCCACGUGAGUUGAGGCCUAGUAAGGGUGGCGGGGCAGUCUUCCCCCACUCCUGUGUCGAGUUAGUUCUGACCUGAGAAUGAUGGAGGCAACUAUCAGUAUGAAAGUUCUGAGAUUGAACGGCUCCACUUUGUAAAAUUUGAGACCAAAUAUAUUGAACACUGGCUGGACUUCAUUCGCAACCACCUAAUGUGCAGUAAAGAAUCCAUGCUUGGAAAAACCAUUAAAGCUACAGGUGGAGGUGCUUACAAGUUUGCUGAAUUGCUUCAACAAAAGCUUGGACUCAUGGUUUAAAGUCUGGCGUUCGGCGUGGUGUGGCAGUAUCUCAUGUGAAUGCUCCCCAAAGCAGCAGAGGUGAUAUUCGUAAAAUUACCAGCAUACUUCAACUGACCUACGUUCACAGGUAAACGCCCUGGUGGAUAUUGGAACAAGUCUGCCGGUAAGGGCUUCUAUGCCAGUUUCCUCCCCUAUGGGCAACAGAGGUUUGGCCCCAGGGCUGCUCCACGACAGCCUUCUGCUCAACAUGAUGCGGACCCAAAAAACGCCAAGGGCCGGGGCAGCCACAGCAGGCAGCCCCAGUAAUAUUACAGGCAAGUACAUGUUUUGAAGGUGGCAGCUUGCACUGUUUCUUGCAUGACUAGCAUAAAAUUACCAGUGACCCUGUUAUACUGGAUAUUGUUGAACAUUGUCACCUUGAUAUUGAUGUUGAUGGUAUUCAUCCUUUAUUUUUGAGUGAUUUGGAAUACAGGUUCAACACUAUGCAACAAGAGAUAAUUUCUGGUGAAAUGAAAAAUCUUUUUCAGCUUAAAGUCAUCAAAGUUACACACAAGCAAACUCAGCAGGUCAUCUCACCCAUUUUCUUGAGAGAAAAGAAAAACGGGAAAUUUCGCCUGGUCCUUAAUUUAGAGAGAUUAAACAAAUACAUACCCUAUAAGAAUUUUAAAAUGAAAAAUCUUGAACAGGCCAUUAGGCUUAUCAAUAAGGAUGAUUUUCUGGCAUCUGUUGAUCUCAGGCAUGCUUAUUUUUCUGUUAAGGUCGCAGAUGAGCAACAAAGAUAUUUUACAUGGCAGGGUGUUAUCUAUCAAUUUACCUGCCUCCCCAAUGGCAUUUCUGAGGGUCCUCGGCUUUUCACAAAACUGAUGAAGCCAGUAUUUGCCACUCUAAGGAAGGAAGGAUACACUAUCACCAGUUUUAUUGAUGACACAUUGAUUUGCAGUAAUUCUUAUUCAGGUUGCCUUAAAGCAAUUCAUGCUACCAUUUCAUUGUUGCAGAGGUUGGGAUUCUGUGUCAAUGUAGAGAAGUCUGUUCUCACCCCCCACACAAUGUAUUGGAUACCUAGGAAAUGUCAUUAACACCAAGUUCAUGACU
rnacentral:misc_RNA from 1 species